rnacentral:rRNA from 1 species
AACAAACGCUGGCGGCGUGCCUAACACAUGCAAGUCGUACGAGAAAGGGUCCUUCGGGACCUGAGUAAAGUGGCGCACGGGUGAGUAACGCGUGGAUAAUCUGCCCUUCAGUUGGGAAUAACUCAUCGAAAGGUGGGCUAAUACCGAAUAACGCUGUGAGACUUUGGUCGAUCAGCCAAAGAGAGCCUCUGCUUGCAAGCCCUCGCUGAAGGAUGAGUCCGCGUACCAUUAGCUAGUUGGUAGGGUAAUGGCCUACCAAGGCGACGAUGGUUAGCUGGUCUGAGAGGAUGAUCAGCCACACUGGAACUGAGACACGGUCCAGACUCCUACGGGAGGCAGCAGUGAGGAAUCUUGCGCAAUGGGGCAACCCUGACGCAGCAACGCCGCGUGAGUGAGGAAGGUCUUCGGAUCGUAAAGUUCUGUCGGAUGGAAAGAACCGCAUAGGGGCAAAUAGCCCCUGUGUCUGACGGUACCAUCAAAGGAAGCACCGGCUAACUCCGUGCCAGCAGCCGCCGUAACAC